GCGUAGCAUUGAAGCAGGCGCAUGUGAGCAUCAGACUACGAAUCUGGGGGCCGGAGGUUCGAAUCCUUCCGGGCGCGCCA
rnacentral:tRNA from 1 species